AAAUAUAUUUUUUUAUCGUUGCGAAACCGGUUGCCAUAGUUGUCAUGCAGAUGCAGAUGGCAGUGCAUCUAAGCUUUUUGUGGUCCCUAUCUAGUGGAAUAAACAUUCUCCUGAAGUACGCAAUCGCCAUUGUGAACGAAGCACGGGUCACUACAAAUCAUAUUCUGAUACGUUGUCCGGUUUAUAAAAAUCUUUUAUUACUUCUAUAUGUCUUUUUGUAAUUCCUUGGGCAUUAACACUCUCUAAUCAACAAAGAAACUGCUUUUUUCACGUUACUUUUACCAAUUUUUUCCUACUUGUACAUUUAGUUGAUUAUAGGAAACAUCUUGCCAUUCACACGAAUACCUUUGUCUUAUAUGAUCGUGUUAACAUGCUGAUUCGUUCUUGCCACUGGCCGAAGCCAUUUUGUCAAAUUUUGCAUCUUUCCAAAAUUUAAUCACACACAAGCAUUCUGGCAUGUGUCAGGCAACAGGUUACAGGAAUGGCAUGGUCCCCUUUUGGUAUUGAGCCUGGCCUACACACUCGGUUAUUGAAAAUGGUAUUGGAACAAGUAAUUACAUGGAGCUGGAGCGUCAAUUUGGGACUCGAUUUGUCAUCUGUUGGUUGACGUGGGAAAACACAGAUUGUUAAGAAUGGAAAGAUAGUGUUAUUAACACCUCAACUCUUGUUAUUUUGUCUAUUUUCCAGGACCCACCAUUUCAUUCCCACACUUAUCAUUGGAAUUCUGGGAUGGUAGCUGUUGUUGCAGGACACUCCUUGGUUCGUUAGUGAGGUUCCAGAAAGCAGCAUUACAAGAGCAAGAAUACAAUUUGCCGGCUGUCAACACAAUAUAGAUUGUUUAACUUUGUUUUCUUGCCUUAGUGGUGAAAUCGAAUUAUAUUGAGAUUUAAAAAAUUUUGAAGCUAUUUGCCUCCUAGUGAUAAAAUAUAUGUGAAGAGUUGCUGAAAUGUGUCAACAGAGCAAAAUGCAAAACAUGGAUUAAAUUUGACAAAACUAA